rnacentral:lncRNA from 1 species
ACAUAUAAAGGGCGGAGGAGGCAGAGAUGUGACGAAGAAAGACGGAGGAGUAAAAGUAGUCAGAAAGAAGGCAAGAAAGCCAAAGUUCUUGGGGUUGUUGUUACCGUUGCUUCAACUUGCUGUUCUUGUUAAAGCUGUUACAGUUGCCGCUACUAACAUUGUUGUUGUUACUGUUUACUGCUGCUGCUGUUUUUUUUCCCUCUCACAUCUCCCUCAUGUAUUCCUCCGAGUUUGAGCUGAAGUUUUCUUUGCCUUUCUUUUCGCUUUACUUUUUACCCUUUCACUUAGUUCUUAUUACCUUUUUACGAAGCCUCUCCUAACUAUUGAACUUACUUCAUUUCUUCUUGCCUUUCUCAAUCAGGCAUCCUUACUACUUACUGUUGCUACAAGUAUGUUAUUGUUAUCAUCAUCAUCAUCAUAUUUAGUAUUGUUAUUACUACCAUUAUUUCCAUGCUGAUAUUUUGGAGGAAGAUUUAAAAAAAACAGAAAGAAAACAACAGGAGAGAAGAAAGAAAAUACAAAACAGAACACGUGUAACAAGUGCGAAUAUUUUUUCAUUUUUAAAAUUCAACCUUUAAUAUUUUUUCGUAUACUAAUCUUGCUCUCAGACUUUCUUCUCUUGCUUUUCAAUUCUUUACAAACAUACGCACCCACUCACAUAUACAGAAUUCAAUACCUACCUCUUAGGAUUUUCUUCUAUUUCCACUUCGGUAAAGUUGUUUAAACGUUGCCUAUUUUCCAUCCAGUAGUCACUCUCCUCAGUUCCAUAUACUAAUAUUAUUAUAUAUGUCUAUACCUAUAUACACUUUAGAUAUUUGGUAGUAAGUUUGGGGUUUUUGACAAUGAUCCGAAAGGAAUCAACAAUAUUUAUAAAGAAGCCAAAGCGCCAUGCAUUAACAAUAUACAACUUUCAAACAAUUUCUAUUUAAUGCAAACUGUUCAACAAUCAGAGAAGCUGCUUGAAUGUACAUACAAAUAUAACCACAAACACACACUUAAAUCAUUCAUCAAAUCGUUCUAAAAAACUAACAAACAAUAAAAACGAAACUAUAAACAACAAACAAAAACGACCAUGCCUUAUCAUACUUUCUCAUUUCAAUAUAUUCAUGGGAUUUCUACAUAAACACUUAUUGGACAUACAUUAACAAAGCAUGGUAAGUAAAAUUUUGUUAUAUUAAUCCGUUUUUAACUAAUUGUUAUUGCAUGUAUGUAAAUGUAUAUAUGUAUGUGGACACAUGUUACCCGCUUUAUGUAUAUAUAAGAUAGUCAUGGAACAGUUUUGUUAUUGCUAAAUGUUCUGUAUUUUAGUUCAAUAUAUCAAUAUAUAUAUAUAUAUUUGCAUGAACGAGCGAUCGAUCUAUUAUCAGUUAGUCCUCUACUAGGUCUUCAUAGUUUGGCAUCACAUCUUAAAAAAAUAUCCCUUUCUUUUGCCAAGUAUUAUCACGUGUGGCGAGAAACUAGAGUGGAGUGAUUGUAAACAUUUAGUCCCGCCGGUCCGGUCACUUCACUUUUUAACAUAUCUCAAUUGGGUCACAGUCCCUAAAGGGUUGAUGCCCCUAAUUAGACACCCGGCAUAACAUAACUAAAGGUCUCUAGAAGCGCACGUACGCAUGCAUGUAUGUAUGUAGAUGUGUGUGUUAUGAUAUGAAUGUUCAUUGAAAGUUCUAAAAAAGUUCUUUGUUGAUUUAUUAUUAAACCAAGGAAUGUGUCGUCAUGCUUGGGAAACAUUCAACAAGAUUGCUUCAGUUUGAUGUAAAUAAUUAUUCUCUAAUAGAAAUUACAUUGGUGCUUGUAGUACUCUUUUAUGUGGGGAUGAUGCUCGGGAAAUGAGAAGUAGGUAACUUCUUAUGACAAACCCUUAUAAUUAUAUAAACUACUCUUUUUUUCUUCGAUUCUUAACAUGAAGCAAACAUUUUUGAGAUACUUAUACAUAUUCUUGUAUAUACCCAAAUAUACUAUUAUCACAGCAUAGAGAAAAUGCUGUUUUCAUCCUAUUUGUUUUGCCUCCGUGUAUUUAAUCUAGUAUCUUUCUUUCUUUUUACUGGCUUCUAUUAAACCUUGAAAAGUUAUCAUGUUAAUUAUCUCAAACUAAGAAAAUUGCAAAUGUAAACUUAACUGCCAAAUAAGAAUCGAUGCAAGAUUUUCUUAAUUCUCCCAAACCAUUUCCUUUGUAGGCAACCAAAAGUGUAGUGGUGCUGACCUGCCCUAAUUUUUUUCUCCAAAAGAGGAACUGGGACCCCACUAUCGACAUGAAAUAAUAACAAUAGUAAAUAAGUGAAUUGUUGAAGUAAUGUUUUCUUUAUAGUUUCUAGUUAUUUAUAAAAUAGCCUCCAAAAAUACUUCUUCGAACGGAAAUUUUCUCAAAAUCUCUGUAAAUCUUUUGUUCAAACUUUAAAUAUAUAUAAAGCAACAUGCUUUUCCCCUUUCGUAUUGAAAGCUAACCUCCCGAAAAGAAAUAAAUUUAAUCAGAAAUGACAUUUUCAAGGUUUAUUUUAUUUAAUCUCUUCCAUCACUGGAGGAUAUCACUGUCUAGACGUCACUCUUCAAAACCUAGUUUGUCUCUUUUUAUAUCUAUCUUACUGAAAACAGUUAUUUUGGCUGUCUCUUAUCUAUUUUCUUAUCAGUCUGUUGAUUUCUUAUCAAAAUAAAGUGAUGUCUUUAUUGAUCAACCGAUCGAUGUCCCAAUCUGUCAUCCGUCAUAUUUACCUCUUAGUGUCAACAAACUAAAUACCUGUAAGAUAUUAGGAUCAAAUAAAGUUCACUCAUACAUUCUCAAUACAAAACCAAUUCUUACAUAAAUUAUGACAUAUUAAUAACAUGCCUCCUUAAUAAUUUCUUUUUAAUUUCUUGUAUAGUCUGAAAAAUCCCAAGUAACAAAAGUGAAAGAGAAAACUUGUUUAUAUUAUACUCAUUUAGCUAAUUUAUUUACAAGUUUAAAUGAAAUUUUUAGAUAUUCUUGUAUUCAAUCAUUGGUCUUCAUUUUCCUCUUAAGAGAAACACGAGUAUCACAACUUCUCCCUUCGUCUUCAUUAUAAGUAGUUAUUGCUUAUGUAAAAAUAAUGAUGAUAAGAAAAAGGAAAAAAUAUCCACAAAAUAUCUUCAAUUUGAUAAUGGUCACGUCCGAAGCUUACUCAAAUUCCGUAACAUGGGACUCAGUAUUUCAUUUCAUUUAAGAAAGAGUUGAAGUCUUUUCAUGGGGUAAAGUAAAAUGAGUGGGGGAAAAAAAUGAUUUCUAAUAGGGUAGGUCGAAAUCAGGUUGUGAACAAAAAGUUAGG